CUCUGGCUAAGGGCUGCGCCUUACCUCAUCCUUCUGCUCUUUUCCAGGUUCCUGUCCUGCUGUCUGGGGGAGAGUUUUGGCAGCCUGCGCAACCAACCCUAGCCCAGACUACUCCCAGGUGCGGGGUUGAGGCUGCCCACCGUGGCAUUGGCAUCGACAUAACUGGCAGCUCUCAAUAUGCUGCAUCAGCAAAAGCAUACAGACAAAUGAGGCUGGCCACGGAGUCACACCGGCCUCAGCAGGACCUGUACAGAUCAGCCAUGAUCACCACGGUUGCACAACCUUGCACAAGUGAGAAGUGGACUCUGGACAGUGAGAUCUGCACUACAAGAAAACAUUGGCCUGAUAUGCCAAAGGCUCACCUCUGCAGCUGUACCUGA
ensembl:lncRNA